UGGGGAAUAUUGCACAAUGGGCGCAAGCCUGAUGCAGCCAUGCCGCGUGUAUGAAGAAGGCCUUCGGGUUGUAAAGUACUUUCAGUCGGGAGGAAGGUGUCAAGGUUAAUAACCUUGGCAAUUGACGUUACCGACAGAAGAAGCACCGGCUAACUCCGUGCCAGCAGCCGCGGUAAUACGGAGGGUGCAAGCGUUAAUCGGAAUUACUGGGCGUAAAGCGCACGCAGGCGGUUGAUUGAGUCAGAUGUGAAAUCCCCGGGCUUAACCCGGGAAUUGCAUCUGAUACUGGUGAGCGAGAGUCUUGUAGAGGGGGGUAGACUUCCAUGUGUAGCGGUGAAAGGCGUAGAGAUGUGGAGGAAGACCGGUGGCGAAGGCGGCCCCCUGGACAAAGACUGACGCUCAGGUGCGAAAGCGUGGGGAGCAAACAGG
rnacentral:rRNA from 1 species